CCCGCUGAACUUAAGCAUAUCAAUAAGCGGAGGAAAAAGAAACUAGCAAGGAUUCCCCUAGUAACUGCGAGUGAAGCGGGAAGAGCUCAAAUUUGAAAUCUGGUGGUCCUUGACCGUCCGAGUUGUAAUCUAGAGAAGUGUUACCUGUGCUGGACCAUGUACAAGUCUUCUGGAAUGGAGCAUCAUAGAGGGUGAGAAUCCCGUCUUUGACAUGGACUGCCGGUGCGUUGUGGUAUGCUCUCAAAGAGUCGAGUUGUUUGGGAAUGCAGCUCAAAACGGGUGGUAAAUGCCAUCUAAAGCUAAAUAUUGGCGAGAGACCGAUAGCGAACAAGUACCGUGAGGGAAAGAUGAAAAGAACUUUGGAAAGAGAGUUAAACAGUACGUGAAAUUGCUGAAAGGGAAACGCUUGAAGUCAGUCACGUCGGCUAGGAAUCAGCCUUGCUUCUGCUUGGUGUACUUUCUGGUUGAUGGGUCAGCAUCAAUUUUGACCGCUGGAUAAAGUCUCUGGGAAUGUGGCAUCCUUUCUUGGAUGUGUUAUAGCCCUCUGUCGCAUGCAGCGGUUGGGAUUGAGGAACUCAGCACGCCCUGCAAGGGGCCAGGUUUCGACCAUGUUCGUGCUUAGGAUGCUGGCAUAAUGGCUUCAAUCGACCCGUCUUGAAACACGG
rnacentral:rRNA from 1 species